rnacentral:lncRNA from 1 species
AUGGGUGACUCUGCUCCAACGCAUCAUACAAGUAUUACUGACUGGCACACUAGCUGUCUCCCUUGUCAUUUUGAAGCUUGCAAUAAAGGAGAUACUGCUAUUUUCCAUGAUGAAGUAUCUUCCACUUCUGAACUGCAAUCAGGUAUAUAAACACAACAUUACUGGAUUUUACAAUGCAAAUUUAGUAAUCUCUACAUAGCAUGUGCAGUGUAAAAGUCCUCAAAUGAAUAAAAUGAAGCACACUGAACA